ACACAUGCAAGUCGAACGGAGCACCCUUGAUUGAGGUUUCGGCCAAAUGAUAGGAAUGCUUAGUGGCGGACUGGUGAGUAACGCGUGAGGAACCUGCCUUUCAGAGGGGGACAACAGUUGGAAACGACUGCUAAUACCGCAUGACGCAUUUUGAUCGCAUGGUCGAAAUGCCAAAGAUUUAUCGCUGAAAGAUGGCCUCGCGUCUGAUUAGCUAGUUGGUGAGGUAACGGCCCACCAAGGCGACGAUCAGUAGCCGGACUGAGAGGUUGACCGGCCACAUUGGGACUGAGAUACGGCCCAGACUCCUACGGGAGGCAGCAGUGGGGAAUAUUGGGCAAUGGGCGCAAGCCUGACCCAGCAACGCCGCGUGAAGGAAGAAGGCUUUCGGGUUGUAAACUUCUUUUAAGUGGGAAGAGCAGAAGACGGUACCACUUGAAUAAGCCACGGCUAACUACGUGCCAGCAGCCGCGGUAAUACGUAGGUGGCAAGCGUUGUCCGGAUUUACUGGGUGUAAAGGGCGUGCAGCCGGGCAUGCGAGUCAGAUGUGAAAUCUCAGGGCUUAACCCUGAAACUGCAUUUGAAACUGUAUGUCUUGAGUGCCGGAGAGGUAAUCGGAAUUCCUUGUGUAGCGGUGAAAUGCGUAGAUAUAAGGAAGAACACCAGUGGCGAAGGCGGAUUACUGGACGGUAACUGACGGUGAGGCGCGAAAGCGUGGGGAGCGAACAGGAUUAGAUACCCUGGUAGUCCACGCUGUAAACGAUGGAUACUAGGUGUGCGGGGACUGACCCCCUGCGUGCCGCAGUUAACACAAUAAGUAUCCCACCUGGGGAGUACGAUCGCAAGGUUGAAACUCAAAGGAAUUGACGGGGGCCCGCACAAGCGGUGGAUUAUGUGGUUUAAUUCGAAGCAACGCGAA
rnacentral:rRNA from 1 species